rnacentral:misc_RNA from 1 species
GAUGAAGAACGUAGCGAAAUGCGAUACUUGGUGUGAAUUGCAGAAUCCCGUGAACCAUCGAGUCUUUGAACGCAAGUUGCGCCCGAAGCCGUCAGGCCGAGGGCACGCCUGCCUGGGCGUCACACGCCGUUGCCCCCCCGCGCCCCGCACCCAACUCUUUGGGAGCGACCGCGGGGCGGGCUGAUGAUGGCCUCCCGUGCGCUCCGCCGCGCGGUUGGCCCAAAUACCGAGUCCCCGGCGACGUGCGCCACGACGAUCGGUGGUUGAGAGACCUCUGUCGCAAGUCGUGCGCGCCCGUCGCGUCACGCGGGCUCGCAUAGCGCCUCGCGCCGCACCCGGUGCGGAGCUUUCAACGCGACCCCAGGUCAGGCGGGGUUACCCGCUGAAUUUAAGCAUAUCAUAAGCGGAGGA